rnacentral:rRNA from 1 species
AGUGAACGCUGGCGGCAGGCCUAACACAUGCAAGUCGAGCGGCAGCGGGUCCUUCGGGAUGCCGGCGAGCGGCGGACGGGUGAGGAAUACAUCGGAAUCUGCCCUGUCGUGGGGGAUAACCUAGGGAAACUUAGGCUAAUACCGCAUACGACCUACGGGUGAAACCGGGGGAUCGCAAGACCUCGCGCGACAGGAUGAGCCGAUGUCCGAUUAGCUAGUUGGCGGGGUAAAGGCCCACCAAGGCGACGAUCGGUAGCUGGUCUGAGAGGAUGAUCAGCCACACUGGGACUGGGACACGGCCCAGACUCCUACGGGAGGCAGCAGUGGGGAAUAUUGGACAAUGGGCGCAAGCCUGAUCCAGCCAUGCCGCGUGGGUGAAGAAGGCCUUCGGGUUGUAAAGCCCUUUUGUCCGGGAAGAAAUCGUCUGGGCUAAUACCCCGGGCGGAUGACGGUACCGGAAGAAUAAGCACCGGCUAACUUCGUG